GUAAAAUCAAAAUGAGAUUUGUUCACUAUAGAAAAAACUUGCAAAUACUUAGUUCAAUAUUUAUUUUAUUUUUCGCUUGUUUUUUGGGGUUUUUUUUUUUUUUGUCAAAAAAUAUUUUGAUGAAAAAUUAUUAAUAAAACUUUCAAUUUCUUAACCAAUGCUUAAGGGUUUUAAUGAUGAUAAAGGAUCAGUAAGAAAAUCAUGUACUAAUGGUCUAAUUUGAAUAAUGUUUACACCAAAUAUAAAAAGGGGGGUUCAAAUUAAUUAUGGCCUUAUGUCCCUGCCAUGUCUCUUUUGGAAGGGGAUAUUUCAUUUUUAAAAUACAAAAGUUAAGGAUCUUUCAUCCAUUACAUCAAUGCAUGAAAAAGAUUUUGACAUUCUAAAGAACUGUUUAUUUGAAUAUUCAAACAAUACAGAGUCUUUCUUUAUGUAUAGUAAAAAAAUUUAUCACUAAAAGGACAGUUGAAGCAUAAAUUUGAAUAAUAAUGAAUUUUUGAUUAAAUCUACAUGUUGAAAAAGUACAUUGUAGUAUGAAACAUUUAUCUAUAUUCCAAGCUUCAAAUAUUACUUAAACUGUUUCAGCUGCCUGGACAAGACUUAUAUAGUUAUUCAAUAUCAAUAAGAUGACCAUUAGUAUGAAUUUAAGUAUCUUUAUCUUCAUAAAACAACUUUUUUUAUGAUAAACUUUUCUUUUUAAUUAAUUCAAAAUGUCAAGUGUGUUAAAUGUCCUCCUUUACAUCAUAAACCAUGUUGGUGCUCCUACUAAAGGAGAAGAUACAGAACAUACAUACAUGCAGUUGCAUUUUAAUGAGCCAAUGAGUAAUCAUAUCAUAUUCAUGUUUGAUAAAGGGUAGAUAACUUAGUAAGCUAUUAAAAAUAUCACAAUAUCACAAAUAUUACAAAUUUAAAGAUCCUACCUGCUUAUCACGAAAAGAAGUAAGCUUGUAGAAGUAAUACAUUGAAAAACAAGAGUAUACAAUUUAAAAUUGUGUUUAAGGAGGUAGAUCUAUGUAAUGGGAAAUAACUCUUAAAAUCUUCAGCAUGUUUGCGUCAACCAUUUUCAUAAAUAUGUUCUAAGCUUCCAAGUUACAUAGAUUAUUUCCAAUCUGUUUCUGGUCAAAGCUUAAAAUACAAAACUUGACUUUUAUAAAAGCAUAACUGAUUUAAAGAGUAUCUCCCAAAAUUAAGGUCUACCCCCUGAAGGACUACAAAACUGCAGUGAAUUCUGUCAAAUUGGAUGUUGAAGAAAAAAAUAUCUGUGUUUUGAAAACAAUUUAUAUAUCUGUUUUCAUAUAACUGUUUGAUCAUAUAGCCAUACAGUGUUUGCUAUUUAGAAUGGUACAUUAUUAUACAGACAGGUUUCAUUAUAAAAUUAAACAGACAGGUUUCAUUAUAAAAUUAAACAGACAGGUUUCACUGUAAAUCCAGUGGUUGUAUUGUAAAAAAACAAAAAAAUUGCGUUGUGAAUUAAGUAGAUUUUUCUUGACAAAGUGUAUAAUUUAAUCUUAAUAAAACUUAUAUUUAAGUAUAAAAUAUUCUGUGACUUGGUGAAGUCAGUGAUGUAAUUAAACAAGUUUUAUGUCUAAGCAGAAGUUGGUAUCUAGAGAGUAUUUUUCCCUUGUUUAAAGCUAAUUUCCUAAUUCAUGUACAAUAAGACUUUUAUUAGGUUGCUUGCUGUGUUUGUAUACAGUAAAACUGUUGUUGGGAUAAGGAUUAGAUAUAUACAGGUUUAACUAUGAUUGUCUGUAUUGUUUGCAUUACAGUGCUCGAGCAUAUAUUUAUACAAACAAAGCAAGCAAGUCAACCAAAGUCUUAAUCUACAAGCUUAAGGAAAUGAGCUCUAAAAAUAUAUUUUCUGAUCAGAGAUUGACAUAUGUGUGGACCAUGUUGGUUUCACAUGAGUUUUUUUGUAAAUUGGCAGUAAAUAUAGAAACCUAUCUUAAGGAGGUAGACCUAGGUUAAGGGAAAUAACUCUUAAAAUCAUCAGUACGUUUGUGUCAGCCAUUUUCAUAAAUAUGGUCUAAGCUUCUUGGAUACAUAGAUUAUUUCCAAUCUGUUUCAGGUAAAUGCUUAAAAUACAUUGAUGAAACUUGACUUUUACAAACCCAUAACUGAUUUAAAGAGUUAUCUCCCUGAACCAAGGUCUAACAUCUUAAAUAUCAGAGUGAAGUUAAAAAGAAAUUAUCACAAAAAUAUAUAAUUAUCUUUACGAGACCACUUCAGAUUUUAAUACUGUUGCUAAGUUGUUGAAUUUUAUAACUUCAUUGUCCAAAAAUAUAGUUUUUAAGACAUUUUGAUUUUCAUACUGAGUUGCGUUGGAGACAAUUUCAUCAUUACAUAGAAAAUUCUCCUUUGCUAUAUUAAUCCUUUAAAAUGAUUACAUGUAUAAAAUGAUAAACAUGAUGUGAUGAAUUAUAAAGGAUAUUCUUUCAUGUGAAUUUGUUCUUAAAGAUCAAAGCUAUGAUAAGCUUUAAUAACCAUUUGAGAAAUAUAUUUCACAUUGCAUAAGCUAUUUUCUCAUUUUUAACUUCCUUAAAAGGUCAAAAGCCAUCAUUAUUUUUAUAUUAUUUUGGCUUUUGCAUUUAUAAUGUGUAUGGCUGUUAUUUAUUAUCAUUUUUUGCUAUAUUUUGUUACUAUUACCCAGGGCGGUAUAUAAAAAUAUUACCCAGGGUGAUAUAUGAAAAUAUUACCCAGGGCAGUAUAUAAAAAUAUCACCUUAUGUUUUGUUAUCGUCAUUUUGUUUUGUUUUCAUUGUUUCCCACUGUGCUCAGUGGUAUCUAUGGUUACCUCAACGAUAUGUCAAUGGCCAUAAAUAUGUCAUAAAAGUGGAAAAAAUGAGCUUUAAAAACAUGUGUUGUUGUUUAUACUCCAAUAAUUUUAUAAUCUCUGCUGCAGCGGGAGAUCAGAAUGGGACCACACAAAACGCGGUAAUUGUUCUCCCUCACCGAAGCUUUAAAAUAUGCGUUGUUUAUACUCCAAUAAUUUUAUAAUCUCUGCUGCAGCAGGAGAUCAGAGCGAGACCACUUAAAACGCGGUAAUUGUUCUCACUCACCGAAGCUUUAAAACAUGUGUUGUUUAUACUCCAGUAAUUUUCUAAUCUCUGCUGCAGCGGGAGAUCAGAAUGAGACCACUUAAAACGCGGUAAUUGUUCUCCCUCACCGAAGCUUUAAGGCAUUUGUUGUUUAUACUCCAGUAAUUUUUAGCGUCCUAAAAAGGGGCAACAGAUACCAGAGGGACAUAUAAAAACACGUAGAUGGACAAUAAACUGACAAAGCCAUGGCAAAAAAGGAAAAAUACAAACAGACAAAUAAAACUACACAAGACACAACAUGGAAAACUAUAAGACUAAGCAAAACCAC
rnacentral:lncRNA from 1 species